rnacentral:rRNA from 1 species
AGAGUUUGAUCCUGGCUCAGGACGAACGCUGGCGGCGUGCUUAACACAUGCAAGUCGAACGGAAAGGCCCUGCUUUUGUGGGGUGCUCGAGUGGCGAACGGGUGAGUAACACGUGAGUAACCUGCCCUUGACUUUGGGAUAACUUCAGGAAACUGGGGCUAAUACCGGAUAGGAGCUCCUGCUGCAUGGUGGGGGUUGGAAAGUUUCGGCGGUUGGGGAUGGACUCGCGGCUUAUCAGCUUGUUGGUGGGGUAGUGGCUUACCAAGGCUUUGACGGGUAGCCGGCCUGAGAGGGUGACCGGCCACAUUGGGACUGAGAUACGGCCCAGACUCCUACGGGAGGCAGCAGUGGGGAAUAUUGCACAAUGGGCGGAAGCCUGAUGCAGCAACACCGCGUGCGGGAUGACGGCCUUCGGGUUGUAAACCGCUUUCGCCUGUGACGAAGCGUGAGUGACGGUAAUGGGUAAAGAAGCACCGGCUAACUACGUG